rnacentral:lncRNA from 1 species
CAUAAAUUAGGGAAGAUUGAUAUAUUGAUAUCUACGUUUUUUUAACAGCCAAUCUAUAGUAAGAAUUCCUUGUUUAAAUUGUUCACAUUGUAGAUUAUAUUUUGCAGCAUCCUUCUCUUAUCAAGAGGUUAAUUGGAAUCCGGAAUUCAAAUUCUCGAGCAAGUCAUGGCAGCUUGUAUGUAGAUGAUGAAGAUUAUGGAGAGAGAGAAAAUAAAAUGCCAAGAUCUAGGACAGGAUCCGUCCAUCAAUCUAAUUUAAGCAUUGAAAAGAUAAAAUAUGGUGAAGAAAAAAAUUGGAAAAGAUCAUUUAGUUUUCUUCGAACAGGAAGCAGCAGGAGGAAAAGAAAAGAACAUAAUGAUCAGGUAAUGUACUGUAUAUUUAAAUUUUGCUUAAAACAUUCUCUGCAUGAUCUAUCAUUUUUAUUUUUAAGAAUUGGGAAGUGC